rnacentral:rRNA from 1 species
UUCGAGUGGCGGACGGGUGAGUAACGCGUGGGUAACCUGCCUUACACAGGGGGAUAACACCUGGAAACAGGUGCUAAUACUGCAUAAGCGCACAGGGCCGCAUGGCCCGGUGUGAAAAACUCCGGUGGUGUAAGAUGGACCCGCGUCUGAUUAGCUUGUUGGCGGGGUAGGGGCCCACCAAGGCGACGAUCAGUAGCCGGCCUGAGAGGGUGGACGGCCACAUUGGGACUGAGACACGGCCCAAACUCCUACGGAAGGCAGCAG